ACCUGCGGAAGGAUCAUUACUGAGUGCGGGCUGCCUCCGGGCGCCCAACCUCCCACCCGUGACUACCUAACACUGUUGCUUCGGCGGGGAGCCCCCUCGGGGGCGAGCCGCCGGGGACUACUGAACUUCAUGCCUGAGAGUGAUGCAGUCUGAGUCUGAAUAUAAAAUCAGUCAAAACUUUCAACAAUGGAUCUCUUGGUUCCGGCAUCGAUGAAGAACGCAGCGAACUGCGAUAAGUAAUGUGAAUUGCAGAAUUCAGUGAAUCAUCGAGUCUUUGAACGCACAUUGCGCCCCCUGGCAUUCCGGGGGGCAUGCCUGUCCGAGCGUCAUUGCUGCCCAUCAAGCCCGGCUUGUGUGUUGGGUCGUCGUCCCCCCCGGGGGACGGGCCCGAAAGGCAGCGGCGGCACCGUGUCCGGUCCUCGAGCGUAUGGGGCUUUGUCACCCGCUCGAUUUAGGGCCGGCCGGGCGCCAGCCGACGUCCAACCAUUUUACUUCAGGUAGACCUCGGAUCAGGUAGGGAUACCC
rnacentral:rRNA from 1 species